rnacentral:rRNA from 1 species
GAUUGGCAGCAGUGGGGAAUUUUGGACAAUGGGGGAAACCCUGAUCCAGCCAUCCCGCGUGUGCGAUGAAGGCCUUCGGGUUGUAAAGCACUUUUGGCAGGAAAGAAACGUCAUGGGUUAAUACCCCGUGAAACUGACGGUACCUGCAGAAUAAGCACCGGCUAACUACGUGCCAGCAGCCGCGGUAAUACGUAGGGUGCAAGCGUUAAUCGGAAUUACUGGGCGUAAAGCGUGCGCAGGCGGUUCGGAAAGAAAGAUGUGGAAUCCCAGAGCUUAACUUUGGAACUGCAUUUUUAACUACCGGGCUAGAGUGUGUCAGAGGGAGGUGGAAUUCCGCGUGUAGCAGUGAAAUGCGUAGAUAUGCGGAGGAACACCGAUGGCGAAGGCAGCCUCCUGGGAUAACACUGACGCUCAUGCACGAAAGCGUGGGGAGCAAACAGGAUUAGAUACCCUGGUAGUCCACGCCCUAAACGAUGUCAACUAGCUGUUGGGGCCUUCGGGCCUUGGUAGCGCAGCUAACGCGUGAAGUUGACCGCCUGGGGAGUACGGUCGCAAGAUUAAAACUCAAAUGAAUUGACGG